rnacentral:rRNA from 1 species
CAGUAGCCGCGGUAACACGUAGGGUGCGAGCGUUAAUCGGAAUUACUUGGCGUAAAGCGUGCGCAGGCGGUUGUGUAAGACAGGUGUGAAAUCCCCGGGCUUAACCUGGGAACUGCGCUUGUGACUGCACAGCUAGAGUAUGGCAGAGGGGGGUGGAAUUCCACGUGUAGCAGUGAAAUGCGUAGAGAUGUGGAGGAACACCGAUGGCGAAGGCAGCCCCCUGGGCCAAUACUGACGCUCAUGCACGAAAGCGUGGGGAGCAAACAGGAUUAGAUACCCGGGUAGUCCCUGUCUCUUAUAC